rnacentral:lncRNA from 1 species
CAGACUCACUACCAGGUGUCAUGGUGCCUACUUGGCAGGGCUUGGGCAGGAUGCCAGGAGGGCCUGGGGGUGUUGCUUGGUGCCACCAUGCUGGGGAGUUCGACUUUUUAGUGCUUUAGGUGUGUGUCCUUUCAUUAGGCUUUCCUAGGACUUGAAUGUGAGCAAAGUAGCCAUCAGAAAUGAUCCCACACAGUUCAACCACAGCAUGAAGUGGGGGGCCUGGGACCACAUGCCCUCCAGUGGCAGAGGCAGUAUAGACAUUAGACACUGGGCCAGGGCUGUGGGGAUGAGCGACAGUUGAAAGCACAGGCCUGGUGUCAACGUGGUGAGUGCCCAAGGCCCCCUACCAGGCCAAGGCUACGGCCUAUACUUCCCCCAGCACGGCUGACACUCGCUUUCUUCCUCUUUGUCUCCACAGUUGGUUUCUCUUUGGUGGGGCCUUGUUGUUUGUCAGCCUGUCAAUUGCAUUUUACUGCAUAGUCUAUCUGGAAUGGUAUCGUGGGAUUGAAGAAUAUGAUGUCAAGUACCCAACGCUGGUGCCCAUCACAACUGCAACUUUCAUCGCAGCAGGGGUCUGCUUCAACCUGGCUCUGUGGAAUGUGUGGUCAUUUUUCACUCCCUUGCUGCUGUUCACCCAGUUUAUGGGGGUCGUGAUGUUCAUCUCCCUCCUCGGAUGAGCUCCAGACUUAAGAACAUGACCAUUUAAAGUGAACAAAGCGUCCAGCUUGUCCGCUGACACAAAGGAGAAGCUCACUGUGCACUAGUGUCUCUGAAGUGAGUUGUUUCCCUGGAAAAUUGGUGACUUUCUAGAUCUGCUGUGGAAAUCAGAAUAAAUGAUCUUUCUCUUGGGUGUUCAAAACAAGUGAUUGAUUUUCAGCAGUUUUGUUAGACAGAGCUAGAGAGCGUUAAUCUGUCAGAUUUUGGAGAUGGUAGUGGCUCCUCACAGGAGCACAGUCCCCAGGUUUACAGUCUGGCCCAUCUACUUGAAGGCUAGCUGCCCUUGUAUAUAGGUGGUUGGAUGAAGCAUGACAGAAUCGUGUUGCCACUGUUAGUAGUCAUUGGAGAGCUCGUAUUUGUCACAGCUUUUUAGGUAAGAGGACCAAAUGAAAGUAUCUUAUGGUUUCCUGUUAUUCUGGAUUUUAUCAUUAUCUAAGUUAUUGGGUUUUUAACAUUUUUCAACUUAAGUUCUUUUAAUAAUGUUCAAGUAUAUAUACUUUUUUUCUGUAACAUCAAUAAAAUAUUUUUAUAACUUU